rnacentral:rRNA from 1 species
UCAAACUGGAGAUGGCGACCGGCGCACGGGUGAGUAACACGUAUCCAACCUGCCGAUAACUCGGGGAUAGCCUUUCGAAAGAAAGAUUAAUACCCGAUGGCAUAAUAGAACCGCGUGGUUUGAUUAUUAAAGAAUUUCGGUUAUCGAUGGGGAUGCGUUCCAUUAGGCAGUUGGUGGGGUAAUGGCCCACCAAACCUUCGAUGGAUAGGGGUUCUGAGAGGAAGGUCCCCCACAUUGGAACUGAGACACGGUCCAAACUCCUACGGGAGGCAGCAUG